rnacentral:rRNA from 1 species
UACGGAGGGUGCAAGCGUUAUCCGGAUUCACUGGGUUUAAAGGGUGCGUAGGUGGACAGGUAAGUCAGUGGUGAAAUCCCCCGAGCUUAACUCGGGAACUGCCGUUGAUACUAUCUGUCUUGAUAUCGCGGAGGUAAGCGGAAGUAUGUCAUGUAGCGGUGAAAUGCUUAGAUAUGACAUAGAACACCGAUUGCGAAGGCAGCUUACUACACGAUCAUUGACACUGAGGCACGAAAGCGUGGGGAGCAAACAGG